rnacentral:rRNA from 1 species
GAUGAACGCUGGCGGCGUGCCUAAUACAUGCAAGUCGAGCGAACGGACGAGAAGCUUGCUUCUCUGAUGUUAUCGGCGGACGGGUGAGUAACACGUGGAUAACCUACCUAUAAGACUGGGAUAACUUCGGGAAACCGGAGCUAAUACCGGAUAAUAUUUUGAACCGCAUGGUUCAAAAGUGAAAGACGGUCUUGCUGUCACUUAUAGAUGGAUCCGCGCUGCAUUAGCUAGUUGGUAAGGUAACGGCUUACCAAGGCAACGAUGCAUAGCCGACCUGAGAGGGUGAUCGGCCACACUGGAACUGAGACACGGUCCAGACUCCUACGGGAGGCAGCAGUAGGGAACCUUCCGCAAAGGGCGAAAGCCUGACGGAGCAACGCCGCGUGAGUGAUGAAGGUCUUCGGAUCGUAAAACUCUGUUAUUAGGGAAGAACAUAUGUGUAAGUAACUGUGCACAUCUUGACGGUACCUAAUCAGAAAGCCACGGCUAACUACGUG